rnacentral:sRNA from 1 species
AUGUGGGACCUGGUUUUCUCCAUCGCCUUGUCUGUGGGGUGCACUGGUGAGAUUGGGGGAUAAAGGAAGGGGGGCGGGUUCUGACUCUUAUGCUGAAGCCCUUUUCCUCCCACCCAGUGCCCCAGCCUCGUCCCUUCAGCCCACAGUUCACCCCAGACAAUGUGCCCCUGACUCUUCCACAUUGCAAUAGUCCUCAUGCCCACACUAGGUCCCCGCUCUCUCCCACUUACCUCAGACCUUUCUCUCCAUUGCCCAGCCAAAUCCCUGCUCCCAGCUGCUUUACUAAAGAGCAAGUUCCCGGGCAUCUCUGUGUUUCUCUUUAUGGGGUUCAAAACCUUUCAAAGACCUCUCUCCAUGCCACUGGUUCCUUGGACCCUAUCAUUGGGCUGCCUCCUGAGCCCCUCAGUCCUACCACAGUCUACUGACUUUUCCCAUUCAGCUGUGAGCAUUCAACCCUGUCCCCUGGACCUUGACACCUGGCUCCCCAACCCUGUCCCAGGAAACCCAGAUUCCACCAGACACUUCCUUCUUCCCCCCGAGGCUAUCUGGCCUGAGACAACAAAUGCUGCCUCCCACCCCGAGUCUGGCACUGGGACUUUCAGAACUCCUCCUUCCCUGACUCUUUGCCCCAGACCCGUCAUUCAAUGGCCAGCCUUUUCCAUGGGAAAAACACGAGCACCCCCAACCACAACGGCCAGUUCUCCGAUUCCCUAAAUGUGCGCCCUUUUCAAAACCUGAAAAACAAAACAAAACAAAACAAACCAAGAAACAACUCAGGCAGAACUGUUUGCUUAACCUUGGACAUGGUAAACCAUCCAAAACCUUCCUCUCCCAGCAACUAAACCUCUCCACUGGGCACUUAUCCUUGGUUUCUGGAACCCCUUAUUCUCUUAGAACCCACAGCUGCCACCACGGUGUCCCUUCUCCCAGUGUAAGACCCCAAAUCACUCCAAAUGACCCAACCCCCAACCCGAUGCCUGCUCCAGAUGUUUCCCAUGUCCCCUACUCUGAUCUCUGGGGUCAGCUCUGUUCUCAGAGCAUGAAGUCUCCCCACCUGGUCCAGCCACCAACCCACUAACGCAGGGAAUAGCUACAGAAUUCCCAGCCUUCCCAGGACCCCUUGCUUGUGUCCUGGACUCCCAGUCCUGGUCCUCUGCCCCCAUGUCUCUUCAAACCCACAGCUCAGCUCCCUCCCCUAUCCAAUUCUUUUGGGUCUGAUCCCCCUGACCCAGCACCCCCUCUGCAGGUGCCGUGCCCCUCAUCCAGUCUCGGAUUGUGGGAGGCUGGGAGUGUGAGAAGCAUUCCC